CAGGAUGAUAAGGCCUUCAAACACACUAAACAAAUUCAAGAGUGGUUUAAUAAACACCAGGAUAACACCUUCCAUGGCCUCCACAAUGACCAUUUCUGAACCUAUUUAAACCAUUCUGGGAAGUUCUGGAGUGCCUAGCGCAGUGUAGAUUUCCACCUCUUUUAUCCCAGAACUGCAGGCUUUUCUUCUUGAAGAAUGGUGCAAUAUCCCAUGACACACAGUUCAGGAUUUGUAUUAUGACAGCAUUCUAAUAAGCACUGGAGUUUUUUUCUAAAGGCAAAGGGGGGUCCAACUCCAUAUUAGAUCCUUCAUCUCAAUAUAUUUUUAGAUGUUUCCAUUAUGUUAUCAUCGCCCCCCCCCCCCCUCCAGGGUCUGCUAAAUGCCAAAGUUUCAUAUUUUGAAACACAUAUUUUCUGAAAUCACUUAAACUAGUGGCAUGUGAGCUACCACCAACUUGAAGGUUUUUAAACCUUAAUGGGAAAUUAUGUAGAAUAUGUUAAUAUAAUGUUAAAAUAAGAAAACAUACAUUGUGUAUCUGCAUUAAUAAAGAUCUGACAAUGUUUCACAACAUUUAUAUUUUUAUUAUACAGAAAUACAGUAUUUUGGGUACAUACAAACAGCUCAUUCUUGAAUACAGAAUUUAUGUUGGUCCAUACACCUGCUCCUUUUUCAAAUUAAAAAAGCGUCACAAAGACAAGCAAGUAUCUCUCCUCAAAUGAGAAAUGGCAGAUGGUGGCAAGUGAAUGAUAAAACAGUUCAAUCAAUUCCUGUUCAAGUGAGAACCUGCAUACUGUAGGGAAUCAUUUUGUCAUGCAAAUAACUUUUUUAUGCAUCCAAAUAGCUUUUGUACAUUGUCAUUGAAAAGUGAAUGUAAAACAUGCCAUAGUUCACUGAAUGCACUGUUGCUGUACUUCAACUCACUUUCACAAGUUGGGAACAAAUCAGAGGUAUCCCUUUGUUCCCUGAAGUACGGAAACAAAGCGUUAUGUGAUGUUUUGAAACAUCCCAUAACACCUGAGUAGCUGGUAGCAUUGCUGCAAAAGUCUGAACACCAAAAACACUCUUUUGGUGUUUCAAGAUCUGUUUAAUGCAGAUGCAGUUAUUCUGUAGCAUUUUAUUAUUUUAAUUGACUGACUUACUGCAAUUAACCUGAUCUUUUGGCUGCUUUACCCAAUUUAGCAGGAUUUAAAGAGCACGCUAGAUGUUCCAUGGAUAGCCUAAUAGUAUACUCUACUUGUUCCUGCCAUUAAGAUGCAUGGUAACAACGGAUGUUUGUGAAGAUGUAGCUGUGUGCCUCUGUGAUGUUGAAACCGUGAUCUCCGUUGGACCAGCUCAUAAUGGUUUCAGGAUGAGGCAGCGGUUUUACAUUGGUGGAUGCAACAGCAUCAUGUUUAUGGACAUAUAAAGUAUGCAUAACUGGUUAAAUUAAAUGAAGCAGGUCUACUGUACCACCUAUCUUGUUUCAGUUUAAACUUCAAAGUGACAGGCUUUAGCUGCAUAUCUGGGUAACAUUAGAAAGGCAAGGUGAAAGAGCUUGUUUAGCAUUGUCUAGUAAAGUAUCAGUGUUAUGAUUAAAAUCGUUCUCCUUUGGUGUAGAAGGUUCUGGCACAUAGGUUACAGCUUAUUGUGUGAAUCUGCUUGCUUGUUGAGCCAGAUGAUGUUCUAUAUGUAUGACUACAGACAGUGCUAUCGCUGACAACAGCCUGGCUGACUGCCCAAUGCCCUUAGCAACUCGAAUAAAUGACCAGCCUGAACAAUAA